rnacentral:rRNA from 1 species
CCUACGGGAGGCAGCAGUGAGGAAUAUUGGUCAAUGGACGAGAGUCUGAACCAGCCAAGUAGCGUGAAGGAUGACUGCCCUAUGGGUUGUAAACUUCUUUUAUAUGGGAAUAAAACAGGGUAUGCAUACCCUCUUGUAUGUACCAUAUGAAUAAGGAUCGGCUAACUCCGUGCCAGCAGCCGCGGUAAUACGGAGGAUACGAGCGUUAUCCGGAUUUAUUGGGUUUAAAGGGAGCGUAGGUGGAUUGUUAAGUGAGUUGUGAAAGUUUGCGGCUCAACCGUAAAAUUGCAGUUGAAACUGGCAGUCUUGAGUACAGUAGAGGUGGGCGGAAUUCGUGGUGUAGCGGUGAAAUGCUUAGAUAUCACGAAGAACUCCGAUUGCGAAGGCAGCUCACUGGACUGCAACUGACACUGAUGCUCGAAAGUGUGGGUAGCAAACAGGAUUAGAUACCCGGGUAGUC